rnacentral:lncRNA from 10 species
GGCGGCCGCGGGGAGGUUCGGGGCGGCGCAGCCCCGCGCGGUUGUGGGAUCGCUCCCGGGGGCCGCUCCUCUCUCGGGCACUGGGGUCGCGGGAGACGUCGUCGGGAGCUCGGUUUCUGGAGGCCCUUCCCCACCCGGCCUCUGCCUCCUCCACUCCCCCGGGCUGGACGGAACGGGGCCCAGCGCGGGAUGCGAGAAAUAACCAUGGAUAUGGGUAGAGACAGAGCCAUAUGGAAUGCACACUGCAGUGGUGAACACAUGGCCCAGCUCUGCCAUCAAGGAGAAGGUGAGAACAUGGGGGAAGAUUUUAUCGAAGUUUCUUUUCUGGGGCAUAUGCUCAGGUUAAACACCUGCUCUGUAUCUCUAGCUUCUGACUCCUACCCCUGGCCAGCUCUGUUACUCUAGUACACUGCUAGGCAGGCAGAGUAUGGCCAAAGUAUUCACAACAGUGCAUCACUAAAUCAACUGGGAUCCACACAAUGGAAUAUCCUAAUGCAUCAUUAAAAAUCACAUUGUAAAAGAAGAUUUUAUAACAGAAAAAAAUGCACUGUAUAUGAUACAUUUUUAAAAUGUUACUUAUGCCAGUCACAAUAAAAGACAAUUACACUUAUAUGGGAUAGAGUAGUCAAUAUUAUAGAGACAGAAGGUAGAAAUGGGUCUGGGUGGAAAUUAGAAUGAGAUGUUCUUAGCAUUCCAGUUUUACAAGAUGAAAAGAGUAACGGAGACAGAUGGCAGUGGUGGUUGCAUGACAUUAUGAAUGUACAUAAUUAAAAAUGGGUAAGAUGGCACAGUGAGAUACCAUCUCACACCAGUCAAAAUGGCUAUUACUAAAAAGUCAAAAAAAUAACAGAUGCUGGGGAGCUUGUAGAGAAAAGGGAAUGCUUAUACACUGCUAGUGGCAGUGUAAGUUAGUCCAGCCACUGUGGCAAUUCCUCAAAGAACUUAGAACUAUCAUUUGACCCAGCAAUCCCAUUACUGGGUAUAUACCCAAAGGAAUAUAAAUUGUUCUGCCUUAAAGACACAUGCAUGUGAUUGUUCAUUGCAGCACUCUUUAUAAUAACAAAGACAUGGAAUCAACCUAAAUGCUCAUCAACAGUAGACUGGAUAAAGAAAAUGUGGUUCAUAUACACCAUGGAAUACUAUGCAGCCAUAAAAAAGAAUGAGAUUAUUUCCUUUGCAGGAACAUGAAUGGAGCUGGAGGCCAUCAUCCUUAGUGAACUAACACAGGAGCAGAAAACCAAAUACCACAUGUUCUCAUGUGUAAGUGGGAGCUAAAUGAUGAGAACACAUGGACACAAAGAGGGGAACAACAGACACUGAAGCCUCCUUGAGGGAGGAGGGUAAGAGGAAGGAGAAGAUCAGAAAAGAUAACUACCAGGUACUAUGGUAGCUUAGUACCUGGGUGAUGAAAUAAUCUGUACACCCAACCCUCAUGACAGAAGUUUACCUGUGUAACAAACCUGCACAUGUAUCCCUGAAACUAAAAGUUUUUUAAAAAGUUAUUUAAUAUAUAUAUAUUUUUUUGAGACGGAGUUUUGCUCUUGUUGCCCAGGCUGGAGUGCGGUGGCGCAAUUUCGGCUCACCACAACCUCCGCCUCCCAGGUUCAAGCUAUUCCCCUGCCUCAGCCUCCCUAGUAGCUGGGAUUACAGGCUUGUGCCACCACGCCGGCUAAUUUUGUAUUUUUUGUAGAGACGGGGUUUCUCCAUGUUGGUCAGGCUGGUCUCGAACUCCCGACCUCAGGUGAUCCACCCCCCUCGGCCUCCCAAAGUGCUAGGAUUACAGGCAUGAGCCACUGCGCCCGGCAAAAAGUUAUUUAAUAUUAAUGGGACAAUACUCAUUGCAAGAAUCAGACUUCAAUUGCUAGCAUAAGUAAAUGACAGGCAGGAGAUAUUGAAAAUGCAAUCUUAUAGACAUUCAAGGAGAGGACGCAGGACAUUUCUGUGUCAUAAAUGUACUAUGGAAAAUAAAAAUGAGAAAAAUGGAAAUAAAAUACAAGAAAAGGUUAUGAUAAAUUUCAUAUUAUUUUACCACAAUAAAAAAAUUUUAAUAAAUUAUAAAUGGUGUGAUAUGUUUUGCCUGUGUUCCACCCAAAUCUCAUCUUGAAUUAGAGCUCCCACAAUUCCCACGUGUUGUGGCUGGGACCCUGUGGGAGAUAAUUGAAUCAUGGGGGCAGUUUACCCCAUACUGUUCUCUUGGUGGUGAAUAAGUCUCAUGAGAGUUGAUGGUUUGAUAAGGGGUUUCCCCUUUUGCUUGGCUCUCAUUCUCUCUUGACUGCCACCAUGUAAGAUGUGCCUUUUGCCUUCCACCAUGAUUGUGAAGCCUCCCAGCCACAUGGAACUGUGAGUC